rnacentral:lncRNA from 1 species
CUCAAAAUAAUGAAAACAAUUAAAUUAAACACUAGGAACUGAAAUGGACGAAAAUUAAAUUAAAAGACUAACAAUAAAGAAAACUAACUAAAUAAUAUAAUUUAAUAAUGGAUGGGUGUUUGGUUUUGAUGAAAAGUAAAUUAAACUUAAUUAAAUUACAGAAUUGACAAAAAAAACAUAAAAUUAAGGUGAAAGGAUAAAUGACGGACUAGCUAGAGGGUUCUUCUCCACACAUGACACAUAUGCAACCUAAAUUGAUUUUCAGUUGUUCUUUCAAUAAAUUGUAAAUCUCAACGCCCCAAAUUAACCGUGAAUUGCACUAAUUAACCCUCAGUUUUUCCACAAGUUAUUGGGUUGGAUGAUUGCAUACGACAACCCAAAACAUUCCCUACAAGUUCCCUACAUGAAUUGCAUAAUAGAGAUACAAGCAAGAAUCAUUGAAAAACAUAAGCAUUGACGAGGCACUCGUUACUAUGAUUUGCAUGAAACUUAUGCCAAGAAUUUACUUAACGUGAUUGUGACUAGCAACCUUCACUACUUGUGAAUAUAAGUUCAUAACGAUUAGGUGAAAUUCACUUAUAUUCUAGCAUCAAAUUCAUGCAUGUAAAUUAAGUAUGCAUCCUUAAUCGACAUACAAAAAUAAGUUAUCUAUCAAGCAGUUAAGCAAAUUAAAUCACAACUCAGAAAUCACAACUGAAGGUAAUCAAUUCAUAUUACAAAUAUAUUCAUGGUUUCGAAUUAACCUCUAGCCAAAAUAAAAUUAAUUACACAUUAUUAAAACAAAAAUAAAAUAGGAGUUUGGAAAGAUUAAACCGAAAGAAAGGAUCUGCUGCUUGGACUCUGAACUGCAUGGACUCUGAACUGCAUUUUCAUGCUGACCUCCUGUCCUCCUCGCCACUGACUUCCUUUCCUCAAGCUGCCCAAUGGCAGCACUCUCCUCUCGGUCCUCUUCCUGCGUCUCUGCGAGCUGCCCAAAGGGCAGCUCCCUUCUCUCGCUCCCGAGGCCCCCCUUCAAAAUCGCUGCAAGGUGCAGCUUUUAUUGUUAUCCUCCUUUGUUUUUCCACCGAGCCUUUUUUUUAUGAAUUUCUCAAACUGCCCAGGCAGCUUCCAUUAUUCCCUCUUUUUCCGUAUGCUCUCUCAGCUUCUCCCACUCUUGCACGCUGCAAAGCACUUGUAUAAUAUAUUUUUCUUCUUUUUCAUUCUUUUGUUUUCUUUUGUUCCACCCACAAGAUUCCUCACUGCCUAAGGCAGUGCAUGGUUCCUCUUUUUCUUCCUGUGCUGCGCAAGCAGCUAACUUAUAUUUUAUUUUUCUGCUUUCUGCUUCACCUACCGCACAAGGCUUAGUGCUCUUCAUUUCUUUUUAUUCUUUUUUUUUUUCCACGCCAGGUAGCUUCUUUUUGCUCUCCACCUCACGCUGCACAGGCACUUGUUAUUUUCUUUUCUUCCAAAAGAAACAAAUUUUAGUGCAGAAGACAAUAAAAAUACAUGAGUAGACAAGAUGGCCACAACUUGGACGGCAAUAGUAAAAGAAAAAAUCAUAGAAUUAAUAUUCUAAGGCACUACAACAUAAAUAGACCAUACAAUUAAAAUUGUAACAGCCAACUCAUGACAGAAUGAGAACGACUAAAGCAAUUUUCGACGAAUUUAUUAUUUAAAACUCAUUUGUGCCAUUUUUAUUUUCUUUGCAUAACAAAUCCUAUAAACAUAAAAAAAUAACGUAAAUAGCUCAAAAAUAUAAGGAACUAACUAAGAAAAGACGAGUGAAUUUGAAGUAAAAAUAUAUAUAUAUAUGAUCCUAUCAAAUACCCCCAUACUUAGCUUUUGCUAGUCCUCGAGCAAAACAAAGAAAACAUGAAAAAGUACUAACAUGAAAAACAUUAGUUUCCCCCUAUGCGACCCUCAUAGAAUUUGAGAACACAAAUCAUCAAGAACCAUAGCUAGCACCAAACAAGUUAAUUCAAGUUCAUCUUCCUUAUUCAAAUAUUAGCUGUAAUCUUUAAAUCAUCCUUGAAGUGUAGUGUGUGAGAUAGCCAUGCUAAUGCAAUUUCAAGUUUUUAUUUUUAAAAUCAUCAUAUGCAAACUAGCGACCUUCUCACUGGAUAUGCACUCAAUCACACAUGUGUUUAGUUUUAAUGUGUUUCGCUCAAAGAAUCAAAUGUGAAAUUUCUACUAUAAGCUUGCAUAAAGAUCACUUCUCCACAGUCAUAAUUGCAAAACUUAAAUCAAGAGGACUUUUAUUGGAUGUAAUGAGGUUUAGGGAUAGGGUUAUUGAAACGAAAGAAUAGGAAAACACAAGUUCCAAGCUACAUUGCAAGCAAUUCUUUUCUUUAGAUUUAUAAGAACUCAAGCUCUCCAACGAUUCUUCAGACAUCUCCAACCACAACCUUAAACUGAAACUUUAAAAACUUUUAUUUCUUUGUAUACAAUCUUUCUUUUUCUUUUUUUUUUCUUUUUUUUUUUUUUGAAAUACAAACAUGAAAUACCCCCACACUUAUUCUUUUGCCAAACACCUUCACAGUACUUAACAAACGUUUCUCAUAAGACAAUCUCGCAUUGCUCGCUUGGAAAAGGGUAAGGAAAAAAUGUUUCAGGUAUAAGGGUAGACAUAUCUGGUGAUAAGAAACAAAAGGUUCAACAUAUACGGCUCAAAUUGGCAAUCUAAUGAUAUCAUUUUUCUUUGGGAAACAUGGUUAUUUGGGCCAUGGUGGUAAACCUAAUGCCUCCAUCAUUUCCAAGUUCAUGCAAUCAAUGACAAACAUUUCGAAAGAUCGUUACGCAAGUUCUAGAGAUGUAUCUCACAUAAGUUCAUCACACAUGAAAGAAUAGGAGUGUAUGAAAAAUGCACACACUUUCAAUAGGCUCAAAAACUCACAUAGGAUGUAUAUGGUCACUAAAUUCACAUAUGAAGCUUUAAGUCAUGCUUUAGUUUCACAUCAACAAGGCUAUGUGCAUUUGGUUUUUCAAAGAUGAUCAAACAUGUACAAAACUAAUACGAGAAUUAGGAAUUUCACAAAACACAUGUUAACUAAGUUCUUGAUGAUCAUGGUUCAAAUUUUACCCAAUUAUAUCAUUGGGUCGGGAAACUAACAAAAAUCUAAUUCAAAACAAUAAGGAAAACAAGACAAUAUUUUUGGAUUUUUAAAUUUUCCGAUUUUUUUUUUUUUUAUAGAGAAAACAAAACUAAAAAAUAAAAAGCAACAACACAGAAACAAAUGAAACCAGUUCGAAGUUGAAGGUACAAAAAAUUUCAAUUUGGUCAUUUUUACCCUUUACCCCCAUACUUAAACUGGACAUUGUCCCCAAUGUCAGAAAACACUAUAAUGCAAAAAUAAAUAAAAUAAACAAAAUAAUAAAAAACAAAAUAAAGCAAUUGGACUGAAAACUUCCCUAAUUUGCAGUAAAAUCAAGCGAUGACCCCCCAAGCUAAAAUUCUGCAAUCAACUUCAAGGGUGGAAAUAACCAAAAGUUCCUGCAAAGAAAAGAAAUAAUUCAGUUAAGGACGCAAGAUAAUGUAGAAAAAUGCAAACGAAAAAUUGAAAAUGAAAAUAAAAGAUAAUGAAUAGAACUAAUAGGUGAUCAUUGGUCGCUUGUUGACUUUCCACAGCUUUCCUCUUGAACUGAUUUGGAAUUCUGAGCGAGGAUUGCACAGUCUGCAUUCUUCUCUGCUUGUUUCCUCUGCAUGGCGGGCAGGCACAAGGUAGCUGUUUUGGUCUGAUUCUUUCUUCAAUCUUUCCAAGUGCCCACCUCUUGCUUUCUUUCUCCUUGUCCCUAGAUGAAUUGUCUCCACAUGCUUCGAGGUAUCAUUUUCACUUCCCUUACUGUCCCCCAGGUAGAUGUGGUAGACAAAGAGGAAGCACAAGAUGAUGAAGAUGAGUACUUGAGAGCAAGGCUAGGUAAGCAAUCAGGAAGGGGUUCCAGGCAGUUGGCUCCAGAUCGGAAGAUUGAUACCAAAUGCUGGCUGAUUGCUCUCCUUCUCCUUGUCGGAAAACAAAGACAAGGAGAAGGACAUGGAGAAAGCAUGAUAUGAGAUACUCUUGCUUUCAACCUUUAUGAUAUGAAAUACUUUUGCUUUGAAUGGGUUGUUCGCAGGAGUAUCCCAAGGAAUGAGGAACACAGAGUGACUCGAGAGGAUUCUUUGGGAAUGCAUUUUCGGAGAUGAAGAAGAGUUGAGAGGGUGUGCUGAGAGAGUGUGCUUUUGCUGUGGAAGGCGAAGGUAGAAACUUAUAGGACUUGUCUUCACAACCGGAACUGUUCUCUCACUCAUUGUCGGCAGCCGGUGGAUGGAUGAAUAGUACAAAUUACGCGCUUUCUGACAAAGCUGCCCGUAAUUUCCGCAAAGCUGCCAGUUGCAUGUGACAAGUGCUGACUAGGCUAAGAGAGACAGAUGGUUGGAAUCGGCACUUCGACAGACUGCCCGUGAUUUUCGCAGAGCUGCCAGUUGCAUGUGACGGGUGACAACACGUCUGGACGAAUUGAUCUUGCGAAAUCCGGGGUUCGGCUCGUGGUUUCUGAGCAAGCCCAACUUUUAAGAAAUGAACGCCUCUUUUGAGAAAAGAAUCCGGCUUUUGAGAAAGGUGCCCGACUCUUCGAUUUGCGAGAGGACGCCUCUUCAAUUUCUGAGGAGCGCCUCUUUGAAUUCUUCUUUUUAUAGAGGCGUUAAUUUUGUUCCACAACAUACUUGAGCUCCCUCUUGUAAACACUCCCUUCUUGCACUUGUUUAAUCUUGAUCAGUCCGACUCUUCUUUCUCAACACCUUCAGAAAAUGGCAGGCCCUUCUGAUCGACGUUUUGACUUGAACAUUCGUGAAGAGGCAGCUCCUCCUUCACCAGACAACAUAUGACGCCCUUCUUUCAUAUCCCCCACUGGUCCCCUUACCGUUGGGGCUUCGGUGAUGAAGAACGAUAUGACAGCAGCGGUGGUGGCCCGGAACAUUGUCACUCCUAAAGAUAACAGACUGCUCGCUAGACGGUCUGAUGAAUUGGCGGUUAAGGAGUCUCUGGCUCUCAGUGUGCAGUGUACUGGUUCCGUAUCCAACAUGGCCCAACGCCUAUAUGCCCGAACCCGUCACGUUGAAUCCUUGGUGGCUGAAAUACAGAGUCUCAAGCAAGAGAUUAAAGGGCUCAAGCAUGAGAAUAAGGAAUUGCACAAGCUCGCACACAGCUAUGCCACCAGCAUGAAGAGGAAGAUUGACCAGAUGCAGGACACCGAUGGUCAAAUUUUACUUGAUCAUCGGAGGUUUGUGGGUUUGUUCCAACAACAUCUGCCUUCGUCUUCUGGAGCGGCACCGCGUAGUGAAGCUCCAACUGAUCAACCUCUGCCGCCUCCUCCUUCUGUGGCCCCGCCGACUGCUGAAGCCCCGCCAACUACUGAAGCACCACCGGACCAAUGAAUACUAUUAGUUUACAUCAUUGUAAAAUAUUUGUAUUAUUAUUUUUUAUUAUUAUUAUUAUUAUUUUUUUUUGUAUUAUUAUUAUUAUUAUUUUUGUUUUUUAUCAUUAAUUUUAAAUUUUAUCUUUUUAUUUUUAUUUUUAUUUUUAUUUUAUAUGUAAAUUAAUGUAAAGAGACUUUGGUUAACCCUCCCCCACACUUAAACUAAAUAACACAAACUUACAGAAAUCAACCAAAUAACACAACUAACUAAACAAAACAAAAUGAAAGCAAUAAAGAUAAGGGUGGAAGAAUGCAAAGCUGAUUGGGUUAGCGAUUCCAAAGUCUCCCUUCGUUGAAUGUUUGGGUUGCCUCCCAAGAAGCGCUUGAUUUAACGUCUUUAGCCGGACGCAUCUUUCCUUUAAAUUUCCCUCGGCUCCAUUUGAACCUAAAAUCAAAGAAAGAAAAAUAAAUCAAAUAUCAAAAGUAAAAUACACAAACGCCAAUAUAAACAUAAACAAAAAACAAAAAUAAAAGGAUUAGCAAAGUUACUAAUCCCCGGCAACGGCGCCAAAAUUUGAUGUGAGAAUUACUUGACACACAAAUUAAACCCUCUUUUUGACAAUUGUAGUAUAGAUGUAAGUAGGGUAUCGUUCUAGGCCGGGGAUUAGGAGGGAUUGCUAAUCUAUUCUAAAUUAAUUUAAAAAUAUUAAAUAAGACUCAAGGACACAAAACUAGGCUAAAAACUCUAAUAACUCGAAACACACUUAAAAUGACUCAAAAUAAUGAAAACAAUUAAAUUAAACACUAGGAACUGAAAUGGACGAAAAUUAAAUUAAAAGACUAACAAUAAAGAAAACUAACUAAAUAAUAUAAUUUAAUAAUGGAUGGGUGUUUGGUUUUGAUGAAAAGUAAAUUAAACUUAAUUAAAUUACAGAAUUGACAAAAAAACAUAAAAUUAAGGUGAAAGGAUAAAUGACGGACUAGCUAGAGGGUUCUUCUCCACACAUGACACAUAUGCAACCUAA